UGGACAUAAUCACUAAUACAGCUUAGUGAUAUCCAUGUUCUGACUUUGAAUUGCAAAAAUACUUACAACAAAACAGUUUUAAUUAGUUCUGCUAAGGAGACAAAGUUUAUAUAUAUACAUAUACAUAUACAUACACACACUUCGCAGAAGUCAAGGAAGUGUGGACCUCCAUGUUAGUACAGAAGUUCAACAGUUCUGUAUGUUGUAUAACCACUUAUUCUACGCUAAACACAAAGGAGUUUGUUAAAACAAAGUUCAUUCUGAAAGCUAGUUCACCCUGGAAUAUGGCCACAGACACUGCCAAAAUUCUGGACUUUAACAAUUCUAACUUCAAAUCAUUAGUUCAAAUAAAGUGGCUUUUUUUGAGAUCCAGGGAAUCUGAUUCGUAGGAAUUUCCCUGAAAUCUGUUUUGUAUUAACAAGGCAAAUAUUUGAAGUUUUUAUACAGCAAUUUUGUCGUAGAUAAAAUUGGGUUCCUACUAAAGGAACUUUGACAGUAGUAUAUUUGCAUAAUAGCAACUACAAUAAAUCAAAUUAAAAGGAAUGGUUAGCAUAAUGACAAGGAACACAAACAGGGUCCUGUGCAAAUAAAUUGGAGGAAAACAUAUGGCCCUCACUCACUGUCUUUUCUGAUCAAAGGGAGUUUCUACAAGUUAACAUUUCCAAACUAAUUUCAGCAGUCUGGCUGUGAUUUAAAGGAAGCACUCCGAGUGGCAAGGAGAUUUUUUUUUUUUUUUUUAUUUUUUUUUUUUAAACUUAAACAAGCCAGUAUAUUCUAGAGCUGUCUGGAGAUAUGAAAGUUCAGUACUUUCUCUUAAAGAAAAAAAUGCAAAAGUCUUAAGUUAAAACUAGAAGUAGUAAGUGUAAUGAGUAUGGAUUUGUCUGCUUCUCUAUGCUUCUUUUUCUGUCACUGUGCUUAGACUUGUUCAUCUGUAUGACUAUAAGCUCUAAGAUGUUGUUGAAAGUUCUGAAGGUGCACUCUAAGGGUAUGUCAACAUAGCAAAGAAAAACCCACGGGUGGCCUGUGCCAGGCAACUCGAGCUUAUGGGGCUCGCACUGCAGGACUAUUUCACUGCCCUAUAGACACCCAGGCUCUGGGACCCUCCCGCCCUGUGCUUUUUUCUUUGCUGUGCAGACAUACCCUACGCAUGUCUCGCAAGAAACAAGCUUAAAAGAAUUGUGAAAUAGCAGUAACUAUCCCUUAAGCAGGGCAGGCAGACAUUGGCUGAAAACAUGGGUUUCCUGGUCAAAGCUUGGGCUACUGACCAAAAGAACUGGCUUAGAAAGUAGUGGAAAUCAGAAUGUUUCAAAGACAGGCAUAUUUUAUUUUUGUUAAUGAAUUAGAGUCCUUAUUACCCUUCUGAAAAUAAUUUUUAUUGCUUCCAAAGCCAACUCUUUUGGUUCUACUUUGCCUCAAACUAGAUCUCUGCUGGGAAGUACUGAUGAAAUGGCAGAUUCCACAAAGACACACAACUCUAUUUUCUAAAAGUACUGAACAAUUUAUUGUAUUUUUGAAAGAUUUUAAUAGUUAUGUAUAUACUUAUGAAUGUUGUUUACAAGGUCUAAGAACUUAUCUAGAGUUUUCAUUUAGUGCUACUGUAAUUUGUUUCCAAAUGGUUAAUGAAACAGCAGUUAAGCUGAUUUACCCAGUAUCUGUAUGAUCUCUCAAGGUCCUUUCCAGUCCUAUGAUUCAAGGAGUCAUCUGGUCCAGUCCCCUGCCCUCACUUGAAGGUUUAUAUGAAGUCUGAUUCUUGAGAAUACAGCAAGCCUUAGGAAGACUGUCAAAGAAUAGACUUUCUAUAGUCUUGCUUUUUCUAGCCUGUAUCACUGAACAUUAUGUGCCCAAGAAUUACUAUUUCCAGUCAUGGAUCAGUGCUAAUUGUUUUCUUCCCUGCUGGUUUAUAUUAACUUUUCAAGGGACCUUGAAACUUGAGAAUCCAAUCUCAUGUGCCACCAGGGCUAGAAAUAUACACUUUCUACCGCUACGAUGUAUGGAUUCCCAGGGAUACAGAGCAUUCAUUUUGAAAUCUUAACGGGUAAAAAGUCACAGCACCUUUAAAAAUGAGGAUAUUAAAGUUACCAGAACCCCACCACUCCUACCAGGAUUUGUGACCAAUAUCUUCAUGUGACACAAGUGUAUAACAUCAGAGGCAAUACUAACAACAGCAAUCAUUAGUCUCAUGGUAUUGUUAUAUCCGAAUCAUGGAAGAGAACACUGCAGCUUCUGCCAGGAGUUCAAUGUUCACAUUUAUGGAUUUCACAACUUCAACAAACAAGUUGCUGCUUUUUAGCAGCAAGAGCCUUACUAGUUUAAACUUCCUAGACGUGGUCCCUUGCCCACUAAACGCUGACAGAAAAGAGACACUGCACAGAACAACGAAAAGGUAAGGAGAGUGCUCAAUUUUUAUUUAUUUAUUUUUACUUAAUGUAUGUGGAACAUCACAGGUGCCAGAAGGAGAGAAGGAACUGUCAAGGACAUCUUAUGUACCCUGGAUUCUGUUUGGGAGGGGAAGCCAGUGUCAGGGUUUUUUUCCUCUGGAAAGAAUCUCUAUUCUUUUAUAGAAAUCUUCACACUGUAUUGAUUAAGCAUAGUCCUAUUUCAGAUUUACCACAGCAAUGACAUUUCCUUCCCCCUCUUCCAUCCACCCACUGGCCUUAUCUACAUUAAGGGCACAUCUAUACCAGGAACACUCUACCAAUAUGGGAAUACCAGUAUUUUAUGACAAUAUAAAUGGCAUCAAUGCUAGGAGAGCUCCUCUGGUAAAGCUGUGCUUUUACCUGUACCUUAUUCCACUAGCCCGAAGUGAAAGAGCUAUAAUUGUGAAAGUGAACAUUUGUGGAUAUAAUUGCAUCACCAGUGGCUUCUGUCAGCACAGUUAUAUUGGUUACGGAAGGGAUCGCACCUCUCAACACCGCUGACAUAACUAUUCUGAUAAAAGCCUAUAGUGUAGAUGUGGCCAAUGAAAUUUAGAACUUAUAGCUCACUUCUAAAGCCACAUGUCAUCCCUCCAGAGCCAUACCACUCCCCUAUGCCCAUUUCCUCAUUAGGAGAUCAUCUUUAUUGCUGGAUCAGUUACACUUAGUUAAUAUCAAGGCCUUGUCUACCAUUGAAAGUUUUAUCAGUUCUACAGAUAUAAACUCCUGUGUUAACACUCUUAUUGCAGUCUGAGUGGCUUUUUUUCCAGGUUAGUUUAAACCCUUUGCUAAGUAACAUAUGCUAAAUAUAAAGCACCACUUGUAUUAAAAUAAGUGUUCACAUGGGGGUGGAGGAGUUAUACUGGUAUAAAUUAUAUUGUCUUAAAUUCACACUUAUUCUGGAGAGAAAAAAAAAAAAGCAACCCUCCCACAUAGACAAAGUCCAAGAAGGUAUACCACUACCAUAAGCUAAAAUAAGGCAGAAGUUGAAAGCACUCAAUUCCUGCUUAUUCUGGAUGAGUGGAGGUUUGGAGUUUUUGUUUUGUUUUUGUUUUUUUAAAGAUGUGUAUCCAACCCAAACUUUGACUUCAGUGGGACCUGAGUACAUGCUUGAAUGCUUUCCUGAACUGAUCCAUAUUCUCUGGAAUAAAAAUAUUCUAUGUAUAUUUUUAAAAGCCCUGUUACACAAGAACUAUUGACCUAGUCCCAACAGUCAGAUUAGGAAAGGGUUAGCUAUUUAAAAUGAUCAGGUUUAACAAAAAAUACUAAUAGAGAUUACGUGCCCCACUCCCACAUAAAAUGUGAAAAUUCUGCAUACAUUUUGUGAAGUGUUAGGAGAAGGAAAUUUUUUUUUAGUUCAUCUAAUAUGUUUUAAAUUAAAUGUAAUUCUCAAACACACUUAUCUUAUAGAUUAAAGGGAAAUAAUACAUACAUACCACAUUUCUAUAAGAAAUUCUACUUGAUAGCUAGAAAGACAGCCUUCCCUACAUUAGCUAGGAGGCAAGUCUGAUCUAGCUCUUCUGGGUACAAUUUGUUCAGUACCAAGUUACACAGUUUUAGACAGAGCUUUCUAGUAGAUCUUUAAACAAAUAUUGUCUUCCACCAGCAAUACAAAGGAAGACAUGGAAUAGACAUGGAAUGCUUGCCACAUUACAAAAGUGGGCAAAUUCUCAUACUGCCCCAUCAUAACACAAGGGGGAGGGAGGGAGAGGGGAAGUAGGACAAAAAAGUGGCAAUGCACAAAUGGAAAAAGCUAUUUUUGAAUCCCACGUGGUGCCUGGAUCAAAACAGUAAUUCAAACAAUGGGAAAUAGCAGAAGGCGCACAAAUGAAAGUUUUGUGCUCUAAUGAACUGGAGAAUAUAUGCAAAUAUGUUUGAAGGGGAUGGGAUUAAUUGAGGAAAAGCAUGGCAACUUUAACAUGG